rnacentral:rRNA from 1 species
UACAGAGGGUGCGAGCGUUGUUCGGAAUUACUGGGCGUAAAGGGUCUGUAGGUGGCCAACUAAGUCAGACGUGAAAUCCCUCAGCUUAACUGGGGAACUGCGUCUGAUACUGGAUGGCUUGAGUGCAGGAGAGGAAUGCGGGAUUCCAGGUGUAGCGGUGAAAUGCGUAGAUAUUGGGAAGAACACCGGUGGCGAAGGCGGCUCUCUGGACCACAACUGACGCUGAGGCGCGAAAGCGUGGGGAGCAAACAGG